CUUCCUGCCUUGUUCACUAUCUGAACAUGAUUCCACAUUUAUCUCAAUCUCAGCUCCUAUAUUUUCAGGCAAAGCUGAUCGCAAGCAGGGAACCAUCAGAACCUCCACUUAGUCCAGGAUCGUGGUCUUUAACUUGAAUGAUGAUCCCUUCAGAGAUGCUAGGAAAAGCAUGCUGUGUACAUAAGGAUGAAAGAGGCCCUUGUGAAAAGUUGACGUGAACUUCGGUUCUUGGAUAGAUGAUGCAACGAUGGAUGUCGUCUCAACAGUCCCUUCAGCUCUAACCAUAUGGUAAUGGAAGCUGAAGGUCUCAGAGGCUGAGAUUGACCCCUAACACCAUGCCAAGUCAAGGUGCCAAGCCGUACUGGGCACCACAUAUCUCCAUGUAUCUGUGGGAAAUCGAACCUGGCUAUUCUGUAAGUACAGCAAAUGCGCCUUACCAC